rnacentral:rRNA from 1 species
GCCAUUAGCCAUAGGUUUGUCACAAACAUUAAGCCCCUUUUGCGUAAAUGUACUCAAAUUAUACUGAGAAACUGCAAAUGGCCCAUAAAGUCCCUUAUAUUUUAUUUAAUGUUUCUUCCUCCAUGGAUAACGGUGGGAAUUUUAGAGCUAAUACAUGCUUAAAAAGCCCCGACUUCCGGAAGGGGUGUAUUUAUUAAAUAAAACCAACCCUCCUCGGAGUUUGGUGAUUCAAAAUAACUUCUCAAACCACACGGCCUUGUGCUGGGAAUGCUUCAUAUCAAAUAUCUGCCCUAUCAACUGCCAAUGGCAGGAUAAAGCCCUACCAUGGUUGAAACGGGAAACGGGGAAUAAGGUUGCUAUUCUGGAAAGGAAGCCUGACAAACGGAAACCACAUCCAAGGAAGGAAGCAGGCGCUCAAAUAACCCAACCCCGACCCGGGGAGGAAGAAACAAUAAAUAACAUUGAAGGGCCUUU